rnacentral:rRNA from 1 species
AGCAGCCGCGGUAAUUCCAGCUCCAAUAGCGUAUAUUAAAGUUGUUGCAGUUAAAAAGCUCGUAGUUGAAUUUCGGGAUCAAAUUGUUGGUCGUGCCUCGGUACGCACUGGCAUUAUCGGUUCCUACCUUCUGAAGAACCGCGAUGUCAUUAAUUUGGUGUCGUGGGGAAUCAGGACUGUUUACUUUAGAAAAAAUUAGAGUUGUUUAAAGCAGGCUUACGCUU